rnacentral:rRNA from 1 species
GACGAACGCUGGCGGCGUGCCUAAUACAUGCAAGUAGAACGCACAGUUUAUACCGUAGCUUGCUACACCAUAAACUGUGAGUUGCGAACGGGUGAGUAACGCGUAGGUAACCUGCCUGGUAGCGGGGGAUAACUAUUGGAAACGAUAGCUAAUACCGCAUAAUAUUAAUUAUUGCAUGAUAAUUGAUUGAAAGAUGCAAUUGCAUCACUACCAGAUGGACCUGCGUUGUAUUAGCUAGUAGGUGAGGUAACGGCUCACCUAGGCGACGAUACAUAGCCGACCUGAGAGGGUGAUCGGCCACACUGGGACUGAGACACGGCCCAGACUCCUACGGGAGGCAGCAGUAGGGAACCUUCGGCAAUGGACGAAAGUCUGACCGAGCAACGCCGCGUGAGUGAAGAAGGUUUUCGGAUCGUAAAGCUCUGUUGUAAGAGAAGAACGGGUGUGAGAGUGGAAAGUUCACACUGUGACGGUAUCUUACCAGAAAGGGACGGCUAACUACGUG